CCGGUAUUACAUCCUAGGUUCUGCCUGAUUCUAUAGCCUAGGCUCAAGAGCUUAUAAGGAACUCCACAUACUUCUAGCAAUGUAUAUCUAUCUAUGUGACCUUGGUAUUUUGACAUCACCCAGCUCUUCUUCUUCAGACAACUCCUGAGGCUGCAGUGUUUCCUUAGUUGACAAAUUCAUGGUUUCUAAUGAGAGGCAAACCUUGUUCUUCACAUUCUGACUAAGCAAAGUUUCUUUUUUUUUUAUUAUAAUAUAGUUUGGGAAUAAAAAUACCUUUAUAUGCACUGCUGCUUCCAAUUAGCCAUUUACCUUAAGUGGUUACCACAUGCCAAUCAAUAGAGGAUGCCCUUGAUGUAGCCUCAAAGAGAGAGCAUAGUUAACAGCAGUGGUAACAUCUAAACUGAAGAUGUGCAGUCCUCCUCCAUAACCAGAGAAUAAAUCAAUAUAUUUAUUUUUUUAGUUUCUAGCACAUGAGAUGACUGGACCAUUAUUUUUGAUCUGAAGGAAAUAAAUCCUGUUACUGA